CGACUUUCACCGAUGUAGGAUUCUGACGACUUCUACGUUAUUUGAUGGUUAACAAGCGGACAACCAUGAAGUUACCUUUAUUACUUCUUUGCUUGAUCUCUUGUGUUCAGUCCAAAAUCACGAAACGUGUCCCCGUAGCAAAAGCCAAGGUACAAGUACUUGGCGGGGACAACGACCUGUUCGGUUACAACAUUCUGACAGGAUGCCCUCUGACAUCAGGACGUGAUCCGGGCUUUACUCGCCCCAUCUUUUCCACUACAGGUCACGUGACCCAAGACUUUCGUUAUAGCAUACCCAGUGAGUUGAU